rnacentral:lncRNA from 1 species
CAUAUGGGAUGUGUGCAUGGAGCAGCUGUGUCAGGAAUGGAAACUACACACAGAGCAUAUCCAGCGAUUUGGACUUCUCUAGUUCUGCCACAUCUCAGUGUCCAGCCAGCCAGUGAGGACACUAACGCAAACCCCUUCAUUGGCCCUGUCCCUGGCUGGAUGCAUGGAGUAUUCGGUGGAAAGAUGGUUCCGUUAGUUUGCUUCUGCCGUGGAAGGACAAGUGAUUCAUCCCGACUGGAGUCACAUUUUCUGGCAACAGUAUCCAGCGCAAGCCAAAACACAUGGGCAGGAUCCUGCAGUGCUCCCCACCCCAUGAGUGGGGCUGAGACCCAUGUCACCUCUGUGACCCUGCCUAUUAAAUAUUCCACAACCUCCCCAAAACUUCAUCCUGGGAUUCACCCUUCAACACAUGGGCUUUGAGGAGACAUACAAGAAAAUGGGCAAUUACUCACCCUGAGCCAUGAUGCCCCACCUCUAACCAACAAGAACCAUGUUCCUGUAUCACACAGAAACUUUCCUAUUAGGACGUUGGAAUGGCCUAAGAGAAGAGGAAGAAGAAGGAAAUGGAAGAAAAAAGAAGAGGAAGAAGAAGGAAGAAGAAUAGGGGGGCGGGGAGAAAUGUACCAGUUAUUGACCGUUGUGUAAUAAACUAAUUCGACACUU